rnacentral:rRNA from 1 species
AUUCUGUGAAAGCAUGGCCUAUCGACCCUUUAGCCUUUGGAAUUUAAAGCUAGGGGUGUCAGAAAAGUUACCACAGAGGGAACUGGCUUGGGACAGCCAAGGGUCUAUAGCGACGUUGCUUU